CUUCCAUGGUGUCGUUCUCACCUGCUGCUUGGCUUGCCACCUCUGCCCAGGUUCUCUUUGUCUGCCAGCUGACAGACACCGAAGGUGAACGAUUUCUCUGCCUUUCAGCCAGCACCUUGGCUCUAAGUAAUGAUUUCUCUGUUGUGGCACCCUGUGGACUUGGAGGCUUCCUGAGAGCACUCCAUCUCUCCUUCUGGUACAGCUCUGGACUAUAAUGCUUCGUGCAGAGACCAAGUUUGAAAGUGAGCUCACACAGUAAUGAUCAGGCUGAGCUUACCUUCUCUGGCUUCAUAAACGUCAACAUGGAAACCUCGUCUAGCAAAGAAACAGGCAUUUAACGCGCCCACCUACGAGAGAAGGACCAGGAACGGUGGAUGAAGUAUUCCACAGGUCACUACUGAGAUGCAUCAAGGGAAAGCAGUGAUCAGGGGAUGCAGCUCAGCAUGGACAGGAAAGCUGCUGAUGAGCAUCUUCUGUCUGUUCAUUUCCCUGCAAGCCCACACCUCUGGUUAUGCUGAGAGGUUGGACAAGGGCUGGGGCUGCAGCUCUCCCUGACUCCUGGAUGCACAGACUGUGCUCUCCAUUGCUUUGGCCCCAGACCAUUGCUUUCCAUGGGAGAGGUUUCCUCAAAUUUACGUGACAUUGCAGUGCCACCUUGAGAGUCCACUGAGUCAUAGAAUCAUAAAAGAUGGAAAAGACCUUUAAGAUCAUCUAGCCCAGCCCUCAAACUGUCACUGCAUGCCACUCCUUACCACGAUCUCUGGGAUCACAAAGGGCCUGUGCAGUGUAAAUAAUUCGCCUGGGGGGAGGUGAAGAGGAAGAGG